GACGAACGCUGGCGGCGUGCCUAAUACAUGCAAGUAGAACGCACAGUUUAUACCGUAGCUUGCUACACCAUAAACUGUGAGUUGCGAACGGGUGAGUAACGCGUAGGUAACCUGCCUGGUAGCGGGGGAUAACUAUUGGAAACGAUAGCUAAUACCGCAUCAUAUUGAUUAUUGCAUGAUAAUUGAUUGAAAGAUGCUAUUGCAUCACUACCAGAUGGACCUGCGUUGUAUUAGCUAGUAGGUGAGGUAACGGCUCACCUAGGCGACGAUACAUAGCCGACCUGGGGGGGUGAUCGGCCACACUGGGACUGAGACACGGCCCAGACUCCUACGGGAGGCAGCAGUAGGGAAACUUCGGCAAUGGACGAAAGUCUGACCGAGCAACGCCGCGUGAGUGAAGAAGGUUUUCGGAUCGUAAAGCUCUGUUGUAAGAGAAGAACGGGUGUGAGAGUGGAAAGUUCACACUGUGACGGUAUCUUACCAGAAAGGGACGGCUAACUACGUG
rnacentral:rRNA from 1 species